AGACCAUGAUGUGGAUAAAGCCUCAUCAUGUCCUUGUAUCUCUCCCAAGCUUUAAAAAGAGAUUCAUUGUCUUUUUUAUUAAACCCGAUAUAUUUGGGCUCUUAGCAU